rnacentral:lncRNA from 1 species
UUUUGGUAUUAUAGGGAUUGUUUACAAAAACAAAUAAGAGGGAAAUGAUGAAAGAAAGUGUAACACCUCUUACCCGGCCCAGACGUUAUGGCCGGAUCCGACAUGCCACAUCGAAGCAUUCAAAACAUUUCAUAUUGUUGAUCCAGAAAAACUUACUUAGUGUUUUAAAAGAUAAUUUCAUUAUAGGUUAAAGUGAAUGGAAGCUGUGCACCAGGUAGGAAAUCGGAAAAGAGGAGGUGAGUCCAUCGGACUGCUUAAGUACC